AUGGGAGCUUGCUCCCUGAUGUUAGCGGCGGACGGGUGAGUAACACGUGGGUAACCUGCCUGUAAGACUGGGAUAACUCCGGGAAACCGGGGCUAAUACCGGAUGGUUGUUUGAACCGCAUGGUUCAAACAUAAAAGGUGGCUUCGGCUACCACUUGCAGAUGGACCCGCGGCGCAUUAGCUAGUUGGUGAGGUAAUGGCUCACCAAGGCAACGAUGCGUAGCCGACCUGAGAGGGUGAUCGGCCACACUGGGACUGAGACACGGCCCAGACUCCUACGGGAGGCAGCAGUAGGGAAUCUUCCGCAAUGGACGAAAGUCUGACGGAGCAACGCCGCGUGAGUGAUGAAGGUUUUCGGAUCGUAAAGCUCUGUUGUUAGGGAAGAACAAGUGCCGUUCGAAUAGGGCGGUACCUUGACGGUACCUAACCAGAAAGCCACGGCUAACUACGUGCCAGCAGCCGCGGUAAUACGUAGGUGGCAAGCGUUGUCCGGAAUUAUUGGGCGUAAAGGGCUCGCAGGCGGUUUCUUAAGUCUGAUGUGAAAGCCCCCGGCUCAACCGGGGAGGGUCAUUGGAAACUGGGGAACUUGAGUGCAGAAGAGGAGAGUGGAAUUCCACGUGUAGCGGUGAAAUGCGUAGAGAUGUGGAGGAACACCAGUGGCGAAGGCGACUCUCUGGUCUGUAACUGACGCUGAGGAGCGAAAGCGUGGGGAGCGAACAGGAUUAGA
rnacentral:rRNA from 2 species